rnacentral:lncRNA from 1 species
AUGGAAAAACCAGAAUUCUCUCCCUGGCUCUGGAGUGGCGUGAUUUACCUGGUAGUUGGACCUUUUGUAAUUCUUCACCUCAGGGACUUUUGUUCCACUAAAAGCUCCAAGUAUGUGUGUGCAUGUGUGUACAGAAAGGAUUCCAUCACUGGACAAGUUUUGCUGGAGAUCCCCAAACAGAAAGGGAAGUAUCUUGAGGAUGAAGAAAACUCCCUGGGGCAACUGGAUAUCCCACCUUGCUUCCUAUUGAAGUUUCCAGAAUAGACAAUGCUGUAGGGGCUUAUAGGCACCUCACAUCUCAGCUGGUGCAACCACAAU